UCAGGAAUGAGGGAAAGGGCACGAGGGUGUGUGUAUAUAUAUAAAGAAGGAGAUGUUAAUGUAACACAAUGCUUGUCGUUAUGUGAGAAAAUCAGCUCGGAGGAGUGAAAACACAGGGCUCUGAUGUGGCUUUGUUCUUCACAGAGACACCACUGAAGGCUUUGGAUCUGCUGAACAAGGCUGCACUUCUCUGACUAGGAAAAAAUGGAAGGGAGCAAGAGGAGGAGCCGGAGCAGUUCUGAGGAUGAUCAGCCCUAAUCUCUCCUCCAGGCGCCAUCACACGGGAACACUCAUAUCUGCACGGCCCGAGUCUCAUUCCUCAAGUGCAGCCACGUUUGCUGGGGAUCUGCUGUUCCUGUGCUGGCAGCAUCUAAAGGCCCGAAGAGUUCAGCAGUGUCACAUGAUCUGGCACAAGCAGAUCUGAUGUUUACACUGGCCCAUCUCACUGCAGAAGAGACACACCUGCCAACUGGAUUACUUAUGAUCAUGAGAUUUUGUUGUUGAGGUAAUAUAAUUCAGUUCUACUGUAUGGAGAAAGUAAUUUCAAUAUGAUGAAAUGAUUCAUUUAUUGGUUAUACAGUUCUAGAGUUUAAGAAUUCCCUUCAGAGAUAAAUACCAGCUAUAAUUUCAAUCCCUGAUUCUAUUUAAUGCACUUUUUGAAAUAAAAUAUGACUAAUUUUCCAAUUUUAAAAUGAGGUAAUCCAUUUUUUCUGUUUCAGAUUUAUGCAUUUUAAGUGUUUAUGUACUUUCACUUUUUGUGAGUAAAUGUGUAAUGUUCUCACUCAAAUGCUGAUUGCUUGAAAAAUAUAUAAAGAUGUAAAGUCUUUGAUAUUUGCUGUCACAUGAAUCCUUUUUAAACCACAAUGGACUCUUCAUUCUAUUUCACUUGUGACCUUUUAAAAUAAAAGCUUAAUUAAUUAUUAUUAAUUAUGAGUAAUGGGGCCAAAGUAAAGGUCAUUUUUUGCCGCACAAUUUCAAUUAUAGUAAGAAAAUAUGCAUUCGUGUUUGCCAUUCUGUCUUCAAAUAAUACAAAUGCAUACCAGGAGACUGAUUGGAAAAAAGUUAGUUCCUUUUCUUUUGUUUUCUUGUUGUUUAUUAAUUCUGUUUGGAUUAAUGAUCAAAUGGUCAAAUAAAAUAAUGGGUAAAAUGACCCUUUAUACUUAA